GUUGGCGGGUAGACUGUGGAGGCAUUGCUCCUCGAGGGUCGUCGCAAGGCAAAGGAAAACGCGCAGCUCAAAAUUUGGAUUCGUGGAAAUAUUGCAAGAACUAAUUUUAACUACACGUCGUCUGUUCGGAUGUCCCAAUGUUUGUAAUUCGAAUGUUUGUAAGUAGGGUGGUGUCUCUUCAUAACUUCUUGUGCCGCUGCAGCUGGGCGAGACGGAGCUAAUUACAGUCCACUGGAAACACUUUUGCCUUUACCUGCGACAGCAACACUGAAGGAGACUGAAAGGGAAACAGGUGACAGAUGGUUUUAAUUACUUCCCUCGACAACAACACGCCGAAGCCUGUCUGUGUUUUAAACGAUUGCUUGCAGCACGAAAUUUUGAACAUCAGGAACAGAGCUUUUCAGGUCUUGACGGCAAGAAGGAAGAGGAUGGAAUUGUGAGUGUCGGCUUCUGAGGACAAACAAGGAAGGACAGGACAGAGAAGUUCGUCGAAUUUGUCGUCAAGGCAGAGAAAUAGAAGUGGCCUGUUGACAGGGAGCUACAAUGAAGCAUCGGUGCAAUCGCUGGGCUACACGUCGUUGUGCCAAAUUAUACUCUGUGGUCAGGGCUAUUGGUUUGGUACUGUGCAUCACGGUCGUCGGGUUCUUCAUCCCACCUGCAAGAAAUGCCCUGACUCCCUUCUGGCCGCGCACCUGGCGUGACAUGUCCACCUUUCACGUGAUCAAGAUGCAUCUCGUGCCGAGGCUCCCGAGCGCUCCAGUCGGUCCUGUCUACUGCCCGGCAACGGAGUUCAAACCUUCCCCACCCAUUAGCCAUGCAUCUGAUGCAUUCAGUUCUGGCACCGAGGACGGAGCAAGCUACACGACCCUUGUCCCGUAUGCGCUGAAAGGUCGAGCACAAGACGAACAAUUGCUCACGCAUGCGCACCAGUGGGUGAACGCCUCCCCCAAACGCAAGGCUCGCUACUUCCGCUUUCUCCCCCUGAUGACCGUCUUCGACAAGGCGCGGCUGCUGUGCACGUGGCGCGUGUUUGACAACGCUGUCCGAGCUGCCAACCUGUCUUACUUUCUGGUGGAGGGCAGCCUGCUGGGAGCCUAUCGCCAUCGCGGCAUGAUUCCCUGGGAUGACGACAUCGACGUUGCCAUGGAUGGGCAGGAGCUGAACAAGAUCCGCCAAGUCUUGUCCUGCAUCCCUGGCUACUCCCUCCGCGUUCAGGACAACAUGCUAUGGAAAUUUUACCCCACCAACACCUCUAGUAUUCCCAGCGUCUGUCCUGAAAACUUUACCGCCAGCGGUUGUAAUCACAAAGGAUUGUGACACGAGAAUCGUCUACACCAACGACACCAGCAACACUAUCCAUUUCCUUUCAUUGACAUCUUCCUCUACACCGGUGACGGCACAUACACCUGGUCCCUCGCCCGCUUCACGAUUCCCACCCAGGCUGUGAGAAGUACUUUUCUCUUUCCUUUGACAACGACGUCCUUUGAAGGAUUCACUGUCCCCGUGCCCAGGCGCACGAAGGAGAUCCUUGCUCUCGUGUAUGAUCUUGAUAUUUGUUUGUCUCCUUUCCACAACCACCGGAUAGGUCGCGGCAUAUCAGCAGUGAAAUAUCUCGAGCGGAAUGCCGGGAGUUGAAAGACAUGUAUCCUAUGUACAAUGUGGUGUGAAGUUUUCGUUCACUGAGACAUGGCUGCCCAAUAGUUAGGGUAGAUUAUUUGCGUGAGUAGUAUUCAAAGUGUACUAAGAUGGUCAGAGUAGAUGUGGCACUGUGGCUUUUGCCUUCUACUUCGGAAGCGAGGCUUAUUAAUUCGCAACCCAGUCGGGUAAACGAAAACUUCCUUCAGCGUUGACGAAUACUUUGUUUAGUAUAACAACUAGAGUUAGCAGAAGAAGUGAAUACCAUGUCAUGGAGCCUGUGAACUAUUUGCAUACCUCCACUCCCACCCAGGGCCGCCGAGAG